rnacentral:ncRNA from 2 species
GAUAUAGUUACCAAAAUCGGUUCUGAUGGGGAACAGCCAUUGGACGUGAGGGGGAAAGUCUGGUGCAAAUCCGGCGCUGUCCCGCAACUGUGAGCCAUAAUAUGGUGAGUCAGGAUGCCCGCCGAUAAAAAAGAAAAGAC